rnacentral:misc_RNA from 1 species
AAUUCUCAACCUCUUUAGCUUUUGUUGAAGAGGCUUGGAUUGUGGAGGUUGCAGGCAUCUUUUUCAAGAAGUCUGCUCUUCUUAAAUGCAUUAGCAGAACCCUUUGUAAACUUAAGCUUAUGGUGUGAUAAUUAUCUAUGCCUUUGCUUACAAAAAACACUAGAGUUCAGCUUCUAACUUGACUGUCUUUGUGACGACUU